AUUGAACGCUGGCGGCAGGCCUAACACAUGCAAGUCGAACGGUAACGGAAAGCAGCUUGCUGCUUUGCUGACGAGUGGCGGACGGGUGAGUAAUGUCUGGGAAACUGCCUGAUGGAGGGGGAUAACUACUGGAAACGGUAGCUAAUACCGCAUAACGUCGCAAGACCAAAGAGGGGGACCUUCGGGCCUCUUGCCAUCGGAUGUGCCCAGAUGGGAUUAGCUAGUAGGUGGGGUAAAGGCUCACCUAGGCGACGAUCCCUAGCUGGUCUGAGAGGAUGACCAGCCACACUGGAACUGAGACACGGUCCAGACUCCUACGGGAGGCAGCAGUGGGGAAUAUUGCACAAUGGGCGCAAGCCUGAUGCAGCCAUGCCGCGUGUAUGAAGAAGGCCUUCGGGUUGUAAAGUACUUUCAGCGGGGAGGAAGGGAGUAAAGUUAAUACCUUUGCUCAUUGACGUUACCCGCAGAAGAAGCACCGGCUAACUCCGUG
rnacentral:rRNA from 1 species